rnacentral:rRNA from 1 species
UACGUAGGGUCCUAGCGUUGUCCGGAAUUAUUGGGCGUAAAGAGCUCGUAGGUGGUGUGUCGCGUCGGAUGUGAAAGCCCGGGGCUUAACCCCGGGUCUGCAUUCGGUACGGGCAUGCUGGAGUUCGGUAGGGGAGACUGGAAUUCCUGGUGUAGCGGUGAAAUGCGCAGAUAUCAGGAGGAACACCGGUGGCGAAGGCGGGUCUCUGGGCCGAUACUGACACUGAGGAGCGAAAGCGUGGGGAGCGAACAGG